rnacentral:lncRNA from 1 species
GUCUACAGGUCAAGGUUGCUUGGAGAUUAUCAGCACAGUUACUUUCGUGGUGACCCAAAAUUAGCCUGGACUUCAAAGAGCUUCCUCUUUUCUCGGCAUGACAGACUCCUGAAAGAAGUCCUUUUUCCUUUUACAAGGUGAACGCUUCAAAGCACGUGGGAGGAGUAUUUCCUUCUCCGUGUUUACCUUUCAAAGCGACUGGUGAAAGAUGAGCUGAAGACAAAGAGAUGCCUCAGGAAGGAACAAGCUGAUGCUCACACCCAGGGGAGGGGUUUGGUGCACCUGAAGAUUGCCCAAGUGCCAUGGGGCUUGACGUUCACUACUUCUGUUUCUAUUUUAAAAGACUAUUUCAACUGUGCCACCUAUCCGUGGUUUCAUGCCCAUGCUCAGUACAGGAUUUGAAUGAUAAACUUCCCACUAGAUUAGAUCUUAAGGCUGGGCUCAACAUCUGGAGCCAGGUUUGGGGACCCAGUUUUUACAUCACUGAUGAAGAACUGCUCUGCCAAUGCGAAAUAUCUCUCUGCAGUUUGGGGAAUGACUACAGCAGAACAGAAUAUAAAUAUUAUAAACCUGGACAAACGAUAAGAUCAAAAGAUGCCUAGAAGUAAAUUAUACCAACAGGAUCAUAAUAUACAGUUUUUCAAGCAGUUAAGUCAUUAUACUCCGUUUGAAUUUGAUAGAGAAAUUCUCGAAUAUCAGAUUUGUUUCAUGAGGGAUGUUUCUUGUAUUGUCAGUUAAGAUUAAAAAAUAUAACAAAAAAAUGAAAUUUAAAGUGAUCUGUUUCAGUUUUCAAGCAUUUCAUUUAAUCAUCUAAUAAAAAACUCCAUAAUUUGCUUAUACCUUAUACA